rnacentral:rRNA from 1 species
GAUGAACGCUAGCGGCAGGCUUAAUACAUGCAAGUCGUGGGGCAGCAUGGUGUAGCAAUACACUGAUGGCGACCGGCAAACGGGUGCGGAACACGUACGCAACUUACCCAAAACUGGGGGAUAGCCCGGGGAAACCCGGCUUAAUACCCCGUAACACAAUGGAGUGGCAUCACUCUAUUGUUAGAGCUCCGGCGGUCUUGGAUGGACGUGCGCCUGAUUAGGUAGUUGGCGGGGUAAUGGCCCAACAAGCCUACGAUCAGUAACUGGUGUGAGAGCACGACCAGUCACACGGGCACUGAGACACGGGCCCGACUCCUACGGGAGGCAGCAGAAAGGAAUAUUGGUCAAUGGACGCAAGUCUGAACCAGCCAUGCCGCGCGAAGGAUGAAGGUCCUCUGGAUUGUAAACUUCUUUUAUAUGGGACGAAACCCCCGGAUUCUUCCGGGAUUGACGGUACCAUAGGAAUAAGCACCGGCUAACUACGUGCCAGCAGCCGCCGUAAAAC